GACGUAGGUGGCGAGCGUUGUCAGGAAUUACUGGGCGUAAAGGGUGCGUAGGCGGCUCCUUAAGUGAGGUGUGAAAUCCCUGGGCUCAACCCAGGAACUGCACUUCAAACUGGGGAGCUAGAGUGCAGGAGAGGAAAGCGGAAUUCCCGGUGUAGCGGUGAAAUGCGUAGAGAUCGGGAGGAACGCCAGUGGCGAAGGCGGCUUUCUGGACUGUAACUGACGCUUCGGCACGAAAGCGUGGGGAGCAAACAGG
rnacentral:rRNA from 1 species